rfam:Candidate divison MSBL1 archaeon SCGC-AAA259J03 AAA259J03_Contig_15, whole genome shotgun sequence.
CGGCGAGUUAGGCUAGGGAGUUAGCGGUCCCCACUUCGAAAACCCGCUAUAUGUCGGGCCGAAGCUCCGGAGAGGCGUCUGGAACUAUCCGCCGGCUCGGUUCGCGGCGUAGACGCCUCGUCCUGCAGGGUCGCAGGUGAUGGACCCUCGGCCGGAGGGCUGGGGCAAACCAUCCUUGCCUGCUGAACCCGGUCAGGGACGGAAGUCCGCAGCCGUAGGCAGGACUGUUGGCGCUUGCGGGGUCGCGGGGCCGAGCUUGCGGCCGAGCGUCUGGCGGGUAGGAAAGGGCACCCAUCCGUAGCGCGCUCGCCG